rnacentral:sRNA from 1 species
UUUCCUCGCGCUAGUCAUGGUCGUGGCGCUCGCCUUCGGCGUGCCCUUCGAUGCGGCGCGGGGGGA